AUCAACAGCGGCUGUUUUUUUACCUUGUGAGUAAAAUUUGCUUUUAACAAAAAUCAACAAGGUCCUGUUUUGUUUAUUCUGUCUCCAACCAACCUCAGUGACCUCAGCUGGAGAAGACCAGCUGCUGGCCACUUCCCAUCAACCACCACCCUCGGCACCGCGGGCACCUUGUGCUGGUCGGGUCGGACAGAACAGCCACCUGUGUUUACAGACAGCAGAGCCCAUCUUGCCUCCAGAUGUGAGUGCCCGGGCUCACCUGAGGUGUGGGCAUUUUGCGGGAGCGGAGCACGGGCUCUCCUGUCCCCUGGGGGAAAUCCUGCUCCAAAAGCCUCGGUGACUGCCUUUGGUUUUCAUGUGCUGUGCUUCUACACCACUCCUGUUGACAGAAAUGCCGUUUGGUGGGAACUCAGCGCUUGCUGUGGGCUGAUGCGGGCAGGUGUAAAAGGGAGCUCGGUCAGCUUUGUCCAGCUGGGACAUCCCUGGCAAGGCCCUGCUCCUCCAGGUUAGGGGUUUCGCCUCCUCCCCCACAUCCUAGGAUUUCAUUGCAGUGAAAGCACAGCAUAUCAUAAAACUGUGUCCUUAAAAAAAUCAGUCUCGCAGACAGGCCGCCUUUGUCUGAAGAUGUAAUUACAGAAUAAAUAUGGGAUGCAAACCAAGAAAUGCGGUCUGGUCAGGCAUGCAGCCUCUUAAAAAAACACACACACAACAGAACACAAGGCUGUCAUUUAAUUCUGAGCGUCCAUGCCUGCUGCAGCCCCUGGCUCCCUUACCAUUAGAUAAGCAGCUUCAGGUGAGGCCGGUUGUUAUCCUAUUGGUUUGUGCAAGACUGAAACAAUCAAGGAUGAUCAUGUUGUAUGGGAUGGGGCAAUAUAAAGGCAAUUCACCCUGUAAAAAAGAGUGAUGCUGAUGCUGAUGGAAUUAAGAGGACUUGGCAGCAGCCCGAGUGCUGCUUGGGACAAGGGCUGAUCCCUUUGCUGAGCACACUGGGGACACCGUGGCAUUCUGCAGAAUGUCUGAAACACCAACUUCUAUCAAAUUGCUCUCUUUGCCCCCAAAACCUGUGCAGCUUGUACCCAUGCUCAGUGCCAAACGCCUAGCUCCUUUCGCGGGCUCUGGGACUAGGGGGGAUGAACAGCAACAAGACAGGAGAUCUUUUGGACUCUGCUCCUUUGUAUUGCUUUUUUGCCCAUUUCUAAUGAAGUCAAGUGAACGAGCUUCCCGCAGGCGCCAAGGUUCGGUUUCUCUGGGGCAAGCUGUGGGCUCUGGAGAGCACCCUCGCCCUGUGUGAGGUCACCACAGCAUCCCUUGCUGCGGCUGCGUAUCCCAGGAGCUGCGUCCGUAACUCAUCCCAUCCCUGGAGGCCUCCUGUGGGCUGCGCUCCCACCACCUCCUCUGUAGGUCUGUGCAGCACAUUGUGCUGCUCCAAUUUUUGGGCUUAGCUCUGACCCCUGAUGUACCUCCCCGCCCCCUUUUUUUUUUAAAACAUAAUAAAUAAAUAAAUUUGCCCUGCAACCCCAGUACACAGAGAAGAAUGUAGAAAAUAAA